AUCCAGCGAUGCCGCGUGGGUGAAGAAGGCCUUCGGGUUGUAAAGCCCUUUCGGUGGGCAAGAAAUCGGCCGGGCGAAUAGUCCGGUCAGAUGACGGUACCCGCAGAAGAAGCACCGGCUAAUUACGUGCCAGCAGCCGCGGUAAUACGUAGGGUGCGAGAGUUAAUCGGAAUUACUGGGCGUAAAGGGUGCGCAGGCGGUUCUGUAAGACCGGUGUGAAAUCCCCGGGCUCAACCUGGGAAUUGCGCUGGUGACUGCAGGGCUAGAGUACGGUAGAGGGGGGUGGAAUUCCUGGUGUAGCAGUGAAAUUCGUAGAGAUCAGGAGGAACACCGAUGGCGAAGGCAGCCCCCUGGGCCUGUACUGAGGCUCAUGCACGAAAGCGUGGGGAGCAAACAGGCUUAGAUACCCUGGUAGUCCACGCCCUAAACGAUGAGAACUAGCCGUCUGGAGUCUUCGUGCUCUGGGUGGCGCAGCUAACGCGUGAAGUCCUCCGCCUGGGGAGUACGGCCG
rnacentral:rRNA from 1 species